UCCUAAGUGUUGUCCCGGUUUUCCAGGAUUUCCAUAUUGUCAGCCUACUUCAAAGUCCCUACCUUCUGGUGUGUGGCUCUUUAUCAUACCAUGCCCAGCUGAUCCUGACCUUGCAGUAAAAUCUAGUGAGAAUAGCUGAAACACACAGACUCUGGACAACCUGGCUGCUUCUUUCUCCACCUGAGCUGCAAGGCAGUCACUCAGGACAGCCAGAUGUGAGUGUCUAGCACCAACUGGAACCCUGAGUGGAAAGGGUGGGAUAUAGGGGAGGAGGAGCCCCACAGAAGACAUUGACCUAUGCCAACUUCAGCCAACUCUCUUUGAGCAGGAUUUUGGCUCUGCUGCCACCACCUUUGUGAUGUGCCAAUCUGGUGGAAUCUUGCUUCUCAGCUUCCCCAGGGGAGGGUUCAUCUUUGUUGCUCAUAAGCAGCACAGAAUCUGAUACAGAUUGUGAUCCUGGGACUGGCCAAGGAAACUGUACGACUCCAGGUGGAUGCCAGCAGUGGUGAUAGCAGCUAUGAAAACACUGAUAUUUUCACAGAUUGUGGGACGCAGUCUCACAUCCAAUACACAUGAGCUGUUUCCUCAUCAAUAAAUGCAGAAAAAACCCCUCAUAAAAUGGUAAGUGAGGAGGGAAGUUGAGUUUGUCAGGAUCUCUUGCAAGGCUUCUGUUUGAUCUGAGUUUCCCCCACAGGGAGUUCAUAAGCAGGGUAGUAAAUUUGCUUUCAGCUCAGUUCAUUCUUUUGAUCUCUGCAUAAAAGAAUGCUUUCUUCCUUACAGAAACUAAUGCAUUGAUUUAGUUUUCUUCCCCUGUCUGUACUCUGGUUGGGAAAUCCUAAUGCCUCUUUUUUCUGUCUGAGGUAUAGUCUGUAUUUGGCAAACAGCUUAUUUAACCUGUCAGGGAAAUGCCAAAUAUUAUGGAUUAUGGACACCGUGGACCCAUCUUUUAUAGACAAGGCUAAUUCCACAGUGCACCAGAGGCCAGCGAUAGGCCCGUCCUCUUCCGUAUAGUGGACAAAGUGGCCAAGGCUACCUUUGCUUGAACUCCACACAGGCCAGGCACAGAGGGAACAGGGGUUUGCCAUCUAUCCCAAAUGACAGCCAAGGGUAAAAAGAGCCCUCCUGGCAGAUAUACUUUAAUUUGGAGAGUUCCAAAGAACUCUGUAGGCAUGGUUGAUUGCUUGUAAAUGAAUGCAGGGUGCUCAGUUGGGUCUUCCUGGAUCCUGUUUAUAUAUGAGCACAGUUUCUUCCAACGGAUGAUGGGAGUAGCCAAUUUCUCUCUCUCUCUCUUUCCUUCCCCCUGGGAAAAAUGUAUGGGUGAGGGGGUUUAACAUUUAAUCCUGUAUGCAGCCUUGUGGACUGUGGCAUGAUGUUAUUUGAGUUACUUGAGCACAGCAACAUCAUGCGUCAUGAUUAUUAGAAUGGUUUUUCACAGCCAGAGCAGUGUUGGGACCAAUUUUUUUUUUUUUAAAGAAAGUGUUAUUUCUCAUGUAACUUUCUUAUCCAAUCCAAAAAGCUCUGCAUCAGUGAGUUUCUCUCUGACUACAACAACCAUCAUGCCUACCAUGUACUGGAUAUUUCCACGCUUUUUUAAAUCUACUAGGAACAUCUCUUAUGAUAAAUGAUCUGGUUAUAAGUCUUCAUUUUUCACUCCCACCUGUGUUUUUUAUAAUAAUCAUAGUGAUGCAUAACUUCCCAUUCCUCAUUAUCUCAUCAUUAUUCCGAAGUAGAUGAUAGACCUGGGCUAGGAACUAUUCUAAGCUUAGAGGACCCUUAUAUCUCCUGAUUGAAUACAAAGGAUCCUUCAACCCUCUCACAUUCAAAGUCAGCCGUGCAUCUGGCUCUAUUUGGGAGUAAGUCCUAUCAAGU